rnacentral:lncRNA from 1 species
UUCAUCACUGUAAUCAGGGGGGAUUUUUCUUUUAUUUUUUCUUUUCGGCAAAAGCCGAGUUUGCUGUAAAAGAAGAAGAGUUUUCUCUUCUUUCGGUUUCCUAUGAACAUUAAGAUAAAUAAGAAAACCAAAACAGAUUUUUGAAGGUGACUUUUUCUUUUUUACGUUUCUUGCUUGUUUUAUUUUAUUUUUUUAUUUUAUCUUUUACAUAAGAAAUACGAAAUAAAA